CCAGGACAGGCUGUAACUCCCAUUAUCCUCUCCCCAGUACAGGCUGUAAUUCCCAUUAUCCUCUCCCCAGGACAGGCUGUAAUUCCCAUUAUCCUCUCCCCAGUACAGACUGUAACUCCCAUUAUCCUCUCCCCAGUACAGGCUGUAACUCCCAUUAUCCUCUCCCCAGUACAGGCUGUAAUUCCCCUUAUCCUCUCCCCAGUACAGACUGUAAUUCCCAUUAUCCUCUCCCCAGGACAGACUGUAAUUCCCAUUAUCCUCUCCCCAGUACAGACUGUAACUCCCAUUAUCCUC